GCCGGUGAUGGUUAACUCCCGUCCCGAGUUUUUCUUCCCGGGUUUCCGGCACCAACUCUUACACGCGUUCUCGAGACCGGCCAGGAAGAACGCAACAAACCGGAAUCUUCUGCGGCAAAAGCUUUAUUGCUUACAUCUUCAGGAGCCAGAGAGCAAGAGCAAGAGUGAAGGAAAAAGAAAAGAAAAAGAACAAGAACAAGAGAGCAAGAAAGAGAGAAAAAGCAAGAGUGCAAGAGAGAAAGAGAGCAAGAGCAAGAGCAAGAGAGAGCAAGAAAGCAAGAAAGCAAGAAAAAGAACAAGAACAAGAAAGCAAGAGAGAGAACAAGAAAGCAAGAGCAAGAGAGAGAAAAAGCAAGAACAAGAGAGAGAAAAAGAAUGGCAAAACCCCGUCCCUUUUAAGGAGAAUUAUCCUCCACCUAGGACGUAUUACUCCCUGAUUGGCUGCAGCCCAUCGGCCCAGUUGUCAUCACGAGAAAGGCAGAACACAUGGCGGGAAAACUGCCCCUGCACGUGUGCAGAUUAUGUUUACCACUUAGAACACAGCUGUCAGCGCCAUCUUAUAAUGGCAAAUGUGAGGGCGGCUCCCAACACAGAGGGAUAAUUAUUUCACUAACAUCAGACUUCUCAUGCAAACUCACAGAGGCCCCAGUGAAACUGGGACACUUGCAGAGCUGAAGAAAAGAAAGAAAUCUCAACCAAGGACUCUAUAACCAGUGGAAGUAUUUAUCAAGAAUGACAAAAUAACAAAGACAUUUGGAAUAAAGGGACAUUC
rnacentral:lncRNA from 1 species